rnacentral:tRNA from 1 species
GAGGGUAUAGCUCAGUGGUAGGGCACAGUGCGUAGCAUGCAUGAGGUCCUGGGUUCAAUCCCCAGUACCUCCA